UUGGGGACGAAUGAUGAUGCUGAGAAAAGGUUUCGCUCAGUGAGCUGAUGAUAUCAUAUGAUGUCACAUCUUCUCUUGGCUGUCUGACCAA
ensembl:snoRNA